rnacentral:misc_RNA from 1 species
GAUGAAGAACGUAGCGAAAUGCGAUAAGUAAUGUGAAUUGCAGAAUUCAGUGAAUCAUCGAAUCUUUGAACGCACCUUGCGCCCUUUGGCUAUUCCGAAGGGCAUGCCUGUUUGAGUAUCAUGAACAUCUCAACUCCUCACGGUUCGCCCGUGACGAGCUUGGACUUUGGGGGUCUUGCCGGCCUGCGGGUCGGCUCCUCUCAAAUGAAUCAGCUUGCCGGUGUUUGGUGGCGUCACAGGUGUGAUAAAUAUCUACGCUUGUGGUUUUCCGCCAGGUAACCUCCAGCGAUGGGGGUUCACUGGAGCUCACGAAUGUCUCUCCUCGGUGAGGACAGCUCUUUGAACGUUUGAUCUCAAAUCAGGUAGGGCUACCCGCUGAACUUAAGCAUAUCAAAAGCGGAGGA